UAGUUAAAAUGGGCGCGCUCUAGAAUGACCGUUGGCUUCUGGACUUCACUCAGUGUUCAGUUGGCGUACGCAAAGUUCCUUCAAAUUCCUCCACACAGCCUCUUCCCUCUCUGCUAGCUGCUUCCAUGGCUUUUCUUCUCCACAACCACAGCCAUCUUCACUACAAUUCUUCUCUCUCCACACCCAUUCCCAACCUCCAUUGGACCCGAAAUCUUCUCCCCUCCCGCCGAAGACCCAAGUUUUCUCGGAAACCUAGGGUUUUAACUUUCCGGGUAAAUCAUAAGGGUCGCCUCGGCGUAUCCUCUUUUCCUUGCUUCUGCAGAUCAGGGACCGAAGUUGAAAAUUUACCUCUCCUAGAAGAAACUGAACGACGGCCCUUUGAUAUCAAUCUCGCCGUUAUUCUUGCCGGUUUCGCGUUUGAAGCAUACACUAGCCCCCCUGAAAAUUUUGGGAAGCGUGAAGUUGAUGCUGCAGGCUGUACGACUGUAUAUCUUUCAGAGUCAUUUGUUCGAGAGAUAUAUGAUGGUCAACUGUUCAUAAAAUUGAAGAAGGGCAUUGAUUUACCUGCAAUGGAUCCGUGGGGAACGAGCGAUCCAUAUGUGGUGUUUCAAUUGGAUGGUCAGGUUGCUAAAAGCAAGACAAAAUGGGGGACAAAGCAGCCAACAUGGAACGAGGACUUCACUCUUAACAUCAAAGAGCCUUCAACUAAAUAUGUUCAGGUUGCUGCGUGGGAUGCAAACUUGGUGACUCCACAUAAACGAAUGGGUAAUGCAGGCAUCAAUCUGGAAUCUCUUUGUGAUGGAAAUUUGCAUGAUGUAACAGUGGAGUUAGAAGGGAUGGGUGGAGGUGGAAAGUUGCUGAUGGAGAUCAAGUAUAGGACUUUUGAUGAAAUUGAAGAUGACAAACGAUGGUGGAGAGUUCCCUUCAUUUCUGAAUUUCUUCGCAGCAAUGGUUUUGUAUCUGCUUUAAACAAGGUUGUUGGAUCUGACACCGUGCCUGUGCGUCAGUUUGUAGAAUAUGCUUUUGGAAAGUUAAAGUCAUUCAAUGACGAGUACCAAUCAAGUCAUCAUUUAUUAAGCAAGCAAAACAACGCAGAGGAUAUACCCUCAUACGUGCAGACGAAUACCAAAGUCUCUAUAACUGAUAUAAAGUAUCCCAAUGAGGGAAAAUCUGAUGAGGUUGAAAUAAAUGAUAAUACUGUGGAAAGUGGACAGUUGCUGAAAGAAGUGACGCAAAGUCUCUUAACAAAGCAAUUCGAUAAACAAUUUUGGACAAACUUGGCUGAUGUAACAAACCAAAAUAUUGUCAAGAAGCUAGGUCUUCCUGCUCCUGAGAAAUUCAAGUGGGAUGGAUUUGAGUUACUAAAUAAAAUUGGUUUGGAGGCACGAAAGAGUGCUGAAGCAGGUUAUAUCGAAUCGGGGCUUGCAACGCCCAAAAGUUUGGAUGUUGAUCACGAACAGAAGAACAUUAGAAUGGUGGACUCAACACUAACUGAUGUGAAGAAAGUAACAAAAGAUCUAUUAAGUCAAACUGAGUCUGUUUUAGGGGCAUUGAUGGUUCUGACAGCAACAAUUUCUCAAUUGAACAAGGAAGCGCGGCUUGUAGGAAAGAAAGAUACUAAAGAUGAGGGCUCUAAAAAAGAGGGAGAGAAGCUUGGUAGUUCAGGGGAUGGAUCAUUGUUGGAUAAUAGGAAUUCUGAGGAAAUGAAAGCACUUUUUGCAACUGCAGAAAGUGCGAUGGAAGCUUGGGCAAUGCUUGCUACAUCACUUGGCCAUCCUAGUUUCAUAAAGUCGGAAUUUGAAAAGUUAUGUUUCUUAGAUAACGAGUCUACAGACACACAGGUUGCAAUUUGGCGUGAUUUUAUGCGGAGGAGACUAGUUGUUGCCUUCAGGGGCACAGAACAAUCAAGAUGGAAGGACUUAAGAACAGACCUGAUGCUAGUCCCUGCAGGGUUAAAUCCUGAAAGGAUAAGUGGAGAUUUCAACGAGGAAGUUCAAGUUCACAGUGGGUUCUUAAGUGCGUAUGAUUCAGUACGAAUGAGAAUUAUUUCCCUCAUUAAAAUGGCCAUUAAUUAUAAUGAUGAAUGUGCUGAGCCACCAGUCAAAUGGCAUGUUUAUGUUACAGGUCACAGUUUGGGUGGUGCAUUAGCUACACUUCUUGCUCUUGAACUUUCGUCAAGUCAACUUGCAAGGCACGAGGCAGUAACUGUGACCAUGUAUAAUUUCGGAUCUCCUAGAGUUGGCAACCGGCAAUUUGCAGAAAUUUAUAACAAGGCCUUGAUGAAGAUUGAUGAAGAUUUUGCGAAUCUCAGAUUUAUGAGAAAAUGACAACUUUAUAGGGACUUACAUCUAGAUGGGAGCAUUGGUCAAGUAAGUCUCAUUCUCGUAUGGAAUUUAUUAGGAGUUACGAGGGUUUGAUUAGUAUUAAGAAUUUACCUUUGAUUUACUAGAAGAAAUCAGUCUCUGAAACUAUUGGCAUCAUUUCGGUGGUCUAGUUAGCUCCUCGUCACAAACCCUCAAUUGUUUGUUCCUAUGCAGUGAUAGAGGUGCAAAAAACAUUUGUGAUUUUCUUCCUGCAGAGAUGCUAAACAAUUGAGGGUGAUGGAAGCACAACAAUCUUUGGUUCUUUCUCUCGAGAUUGAUGAACAGAUUUUAGAUCCUUCUAGGAGGUUCUAAGACUCAAUUUACUGGAGGUAUUGCUUGUCAUUCUUCAUCCAAUGAUCUCUCUCGCUCCAAUGAUUCUGAUGAGGACUCAGUUGUUAGUGUGAGUCUACGGCUCCUAGGCUUUUGCAUUCCAGGCUCUAAUUAGACAGAAAAUCUAACUGGUGGCAUCUAAAGUGAAAGACAGUUGGAGAGUUGUGAACCACAGAGACAUUAUACCAACAGUUCCUCGUUUGAUGGGUUAUUGCCACGUGGCUCAGCCUGUGUAUCUAGCGGCUGGAGAUCUGAAUGACGCAUUA